rnacentral:rRNA from 1 species
GACGAACGCUGGCGGCGUGCCUAAUACAUGCAAGUCGAGCGGACGAAUCGAAAGCUUGCUUUUGUUUCGUUAGCGGCGGACGGGUGAGUAACACGUGGGCAACCUGCCCUGUAGACGGGGAUAACACCGAGAAAUCGGUGCUAAUACCGGAUAACACGAAAUGUCGCAUGACGUUUCGUUGAAAGACGGCGCAAGCUGCCGCUACAGGAUGGGCCCGCGGCGCAUUAGCUAGUUGGUGAGGUAACGGCUCACCAAGGCGACGAUACGUAGCCGACCUGAGAGGGUGAUCGGCCACACUGGGACUGAGACACGGCCCAGACUCCUACGGGAGGCAGCAGUAGGGAAUCUUCCGCAAUGGGCGAAAGUCUGACGGAGCAACGCCGCGUGAGCGAAGAAGGCCUUCGGGUCGUAAAGCUCUGUUGUUAGGGAAGAACAAGUAACGCAGUAACUGGCGUUACCGUGACGGUACCUAACGAGAAAGCCACGGCUAACUACGUG